rnacentral:rRNA from 1 species
GGGUCAGUAGGUUGGUCGUGCCACCGGUACGUACUGGUCUCACUGAUUCCUCCUUCCUGAAGAACCGUAAUGCCAUUAAUUUGGUGUUGCGGGAAACAGGACUGUUACUUUGAAAAAAUUAGAGUGUUUAAAGCAAGCUAACGCUUGAAUACAUUAGCAUGGAAUAAUGAAAUAGGACGAUCGAUCCUAUUUUGUUGGUUUCUAGGAUUGACGUA